GAUGAACGCUAGCUACAGGCUUAACACAUGCAAGUCAGGGGGCAUCACAGUGUAGCAAUACACGGGUGGCGACCGGGCGCACGGGUGCGUAACACGUAUCCAAUCUGCCCGCGGCUCGGGGGAUAGCCCAUCGAAAGAUGGAUUAAUACCCGAUGGCGUGGUCACUCCGCAUGGGGUUUCCACUAAAGGUUUUCCGGCCGCGGAUGAGGAUUGCGUAUGAUUAGGGUAGUAGGCGGGGUAACGGCCCACCUAGCCUUCGAUCAUUAGGGGUUCUGAGAGGAAGGUCCCCCCACACUGGGAACUGAGACACGGUCCAGACUCCUACGGGAGGCAGCAGUGAGGAAUAUUGGUCAAUGGGCGAGAGCCUGAACCAGCCAAGUAGCGUGAAGGAAGACUGCCCUAUGGGUUGUAAACUUCUUUUGUUCGGGAAUAAAGUGCAGUAUGUAUACUGUUUUGUAUGUACCGUUCGAAUAAGCAUCGGCUAAUUCCGUG
rnacentral:rRNA from 1 species